rnacentral:lncRNA from 1 species
UCCAUAUUAAAAUAUUCCUCAGGUAGAAAACAUACUGUUAUGCUUUCUAACGAGGUGCCAAAUCCAGAGGAAUAAAAUGAGGGAAGGAAAGCUUUCGGCAAGUACCGCUUUUGAAUUCUUUUGGCCUUGGAAUGUAUUAAAGCAUUGUAUGUGUUAAGUGUAAACAGAUCCACUUCCAUAUACUUGCUUCCACAGCACUUAAAGCAGCCCUUCAACCUUUAUAAGGAUGAAAGGUGUUUUUAUCACUAGCUUCAGGCAAGACCUGAAUACCAGGCUCUUUGAAAAUGGUGGCUUAAUGUCAUUUCAAAACUCACAGCAAAACUGUGCAGUGAUUCAACAAGCAAAAAUAUUUUUAAACACAUUCUGGAAUCCUUUUAUUGUUCAGUUCUGUUUGUAGAAUUGUAAUGGAAAACACCUAAAAGUUUCCUGGGAGAUCAACAAUUGGAAGAUGCUUUGGUAUUGGCGAUAGUUGCACAUCUCUUCAAAUAUAUUAAAAUACCAGUAAUAAGGUGUCAUGACAUAUCUCUUUGGAAAGCUUAAUGGCCUUGUAUUAUUUCCAUGAACAGGUCCCACGUUACUGUCAGUUUCUUGCUCAGGAACAUGAGUAAAUGUCUGGCAUUGUUCUUCUAUUGCCAGCAGGACUGUUGGCAGGCCCUAGGAGAAGCUGUACAUCUUCUCAGCACAAAACAACAUGUUGCAUCAGAAAGACCUGACUUAAUAAUGGAAUUGGAGAGUGACUCUUUAGCCUUCUUUUGCAAAGAAGGGUUCAGAAUUUUUCCUAUGAUGGACACAACCAAGAAGAUAUGUAAGACUCUAAAUAAAUAACCCCUAAUAUUACUGGUGGACUUGAAUUCUUAAAUGCUUUGUUGGCUAAAAACAAGCAUACAGACACAUAAAACUAUUCACGUGCUGAAACAAGGCCACAAAACUACUGUUCUCUGGCCCAAAUUCUACACAGAUUUGCUGUUGUUCUCAAGCUGCUUUAGGCACACAACUUGUCCCAGAGAAAUGAAGCAAAGUAACCCUAAAACUAAUGGGGAAAGGAAUGGGCAAAAAGUAAAAAUGAUCGUGCAUUAUGGGAACUUUUGUCAAGGCAUUCUUUGACACAGUUGUUAUAGCUGAAAAGUAGUUUUACAUACAAAUAGGCAUCUUCUGCUCACCUAUUUGAAAUUAAACAUUCUUAUAUAUGUAGUCAGGUUCAGGACCUUGCAUUACAAGCUCUUCAAGAGAAAGGCAGAAUUCAUUUCAUUUUGUGUUCAGUGUUAAUUACAUUACCAACAACAUAAUUUCAAACAGAACAGCAUUCUGCAAUAAAAAUAACAAAAAAUAACA